rnacentral:lncRNA from 1 species
CAUCAGAAGAGAUUCUCAUUCAAAACACAACAAUUCUUCUCAAACUAAAAUGUUGCUUCAACAAAAAUCACGUCCUUCGAUAAAAAAAAAAAAAGAAACAUUUCCUGUUCUUUCUGCCGGCCCAUAGAAUUAUCUUGCAACCAGCCGAACUGCAAUAUAACUAUUGCCAAAAGAAAGAAGAAACCAAACUUAAACCAUAAAACAAGCAUUAUGGCAUUUUAUUUUUGUCAUGUCUCAACCUGUAAUGCAAUCAAAGUGGCUUCAUUAUUAGCUUUUGCUGAUGGGAGAUAAUGCUGCCAAUUUGGUUCACUAGUAUGCCAUGAUCGACUCAUUCAUCUUACCGGAGAUGAUGUUUGGAGGUCGCGACAAGGGUGCAUGAGGUGGAUGGUUAGGGAAGGUCGGCGAACUAGGAGGCGGAGGAGAGUGAAAAUAGGACCGUGCAGGAGGCGGAGAUGGUCGUGACAAGGCUACAUGUGGUGGAUGGUUAGGCAAGGAUGACAGACUAGGAGGUGGAGGAGAGUAGAAGAUGGACCUCGCAAGAGGCGGAGGUGGUGGUCUGUGCAAACUUAUUCGUUGAGGUGGUGGUGGUCGUGACAAGGCUACAUGAGGUGGAUGGUUAGGCAGGUAUGACGAACUAGGAGGUGGAGGAGAAUAGAAGGAGAACCUAACAGGAGGCGGAGGUGGUGGUCUGUGCAAACUUAUUCGUUGAGGUGGUGGUGGUAGUGACAAGGCUACAUGUGGUGGAUGGUUAGGCAAGUAUGACAGUCUAGGAGGUGGAGGAGAGUAGAAGAAGGACCUCGCAAGAGGCGGAGGUGGUGGUCUGUGCAAACUUAUUCGUUGAGGUGGGGGUGGUUGUGACAAGGCUAAAUGUGGUGGAUGGUUAGGCAAGUAUGACAGACUAGGAGGUGGAGGAGAGUUGAAGUAGGACCUCGCAAGAGGGGGAGGUGGUGGUCUAUGCAACCUUAUUCGUUGAGGUGGUGGUGGUCGUGACAAGGCUACAUGUGGUGGAUGGUUAGGCAAGUAUGACAGACUAGGAGGUGGCGGAGAGUAGAAGAUGGACCUUGCAAGAGGCGGAGGUGGUGGUCUGUGCAACCUUAUUCGUUGAGGUGGUGGCGGUCGUGACAAGGCUGUGUGUGGUGGAACGUUAGGCAAGUAUGACAAACUAGGAGGUGGAGGAGAGUAGAAAUAGAGCCUCGCAAGAGGAGAAGGUGGUGGUCUGUGCAACCAUUUUCGUUGAGGUGGUGGUGGUCGGCUUAGCUUAUGCACACACGGCGGAGAUGGACUCCUAUUGCAACUGAUACAAUGAUUUAUAUUCGGAGCGAGGUUCUUAACAUAAGAUGAAAUAUAACAGUGCGAUUGAGCUGAAAUUUGAAUCGUAAAUGUCACGAAAACAAGGAUUAGUCCAAUCGUUGUUUUUUGGAUGGACCAAAU